rnacentral:rRNA from 1 species
UACGUAGGGUGCAAGCGUUAAUCGGAAUUACUGGGCGUAAAGCGCGCGCAGGCGGCAUGGCAAGUAAGGUGUGAAAUCCAUCUGCUCAACGGGUGGGGUGCACUUUAGACUGCCAAGCUAGAGGUCGGUAGAGGGGGGUGGAAUUGCUGGUGUAGCGGUGAAAUGCGUAGAUAUGCGGAGGAACACCGAUGGCGAAGGCAAUCCCCUGGGCCUGCACUGACGCUCAUGCACGAAAGCGUGGGGAGCAAACAGG